CCCUUAGAUGUUCUGGGCCGCACGCGUGCUACACUGACCGGCGCAACAAGCUUUUUUCCUUGGCUCGACAGGCCUGGGUAAUCUUCGAACGCCGGUCGUGAUGGGGAUAGAUCCUUGCAAUUUUUGAUCUUCAACGAGGAAUUCCUAGUAAAUGCGAGUCAUCAUCUCGCGUUGAUUACGUCCCUGCCCUUUGUACACACCGCCCGUCGCACCUACCGAUUGAACGUUUUAGUGAGGUAUUUGGACUGGACCUUCGGAGGUUCGCGCCUCCGUUGCUGUUCGGGAAGACUCCCAAACUUGAGCGUUUAGAGGAAGUAAAAGUCGUAACA
rnacentral:rRNA from 1 species